CCAUUUAAAGUGGUACGCGAGCUGGGUUUAGAACGUCGUGAGACAGUUCGGUCCCUAUCUGCCGUGGGCGCUGGAGAACUGAGGGGGGCUGCUCCUAGUACGAGAGGACCGGAGUGGACGCAUCACUGGUGUUCGGGUUGUCAUGCCAAUGGCACUGCCCGGUAGCUAAAUGCGGAAGAGAUAAGUGCUGAAAGCAUCUAAGCACGAAACUUGCCCCGA
rnacentral:rRNA from 1 species